AACCUUACCUACUCUUGACAUCCAGAGAACUUAGCAGAGAUGCUUUGGUGCCUUCGGGAACUCUGAGACAGGUGCUGCAUGGCUGCCGUCAGCUCGUGUUGUGAAAUGUUGGGUUAAGUCCCGCAACGAGCGCAACCCUUAUCCUUUGUUGCCAGCGGUUAGGCCGGGAACUCAAAGGAGACUGCCAGUGAUAAACUGGAGGAAGGUGGGGAUGACGUCAAGUCAUCAUGGCCCUUACGAGUAGGGCUACACACGUGCUACAAUGGCGCAUACAAAGAGAAGCGACCUCGCGAGAGCAAGCGGACCUCAUAAAGUUGUUCUCAGUUCGGAUUGUAGUCUGCAACUCGACUACAUGAAGCUGGAAUCGCUAGUAAUCGUAGAUCAGCAUGCUACGGUGAAUACGUUCCCGGGUCUUGUACACACCG
rnacentral:rRNA from 1 species